rnacentral:rRNA from 1 species
CAGUCGCCGCGGUAAUACGUAGGGUGCGAGCGUUAAUCGGAAUUACUGGGCGUAAGGCGUGCGCAGGCGGUUUUGUAAGACAGGCGUGAAAUCCCCGGGCUCAACCUGGGAAUGGCGCUUGUGACUGCAAAGCUAGAGUGCGGCAGAGGGGGAUGGAAUUCCGCGUGUAGCAGUGAAAUGCGUAGAUAUGCGGAGGAACACCGAUGGCGAAGGCAAUCCCCUGGGCCUGCACUGACGCUCAUGCACGAAAGCGUGGGGAGCAAACAGGAUUAGAUACCCCCGUAGUCCCUGUCUCUUAUAC